GGGGAAACCGGGGGUAAUUACGGCAUAAGUUCGGAGGAGGAGAAAGGAAGCAAAUUCGCUGGAGGAGGAGUCCGCGGCCGAUUAGUUUGUUGGUAGGGUAACGGCCUACCAAGACUAAGAUCGGUAGCCGGCCUGAGAGGGCACACGGCCACACUGGCACUGAAACACGGGCCAGACACCUACGGGAGGCAGCAGUGGGGAAACUUGCACAAUGGGGGCAACCCUGAUGCAGCGACGCCGCGUGAGCGAUGAAGCCCUUCGGGGUGUAAAGCACUUUCGGCAGGGAAGAUAGUGACGGUAC
rnacentral:rRNA from 1 species